GGGCGGGCCCGGCCAUAGGCGCCCAAGGGCUUACAGCUCGGGUUUUUCUGGUUAAUUGCUGCAGCAAGAGGACUAGCCGGCCGUGUGCAGAGCAUCCUUUUUUGACCCUCAGAGAGCCCGGGCGGGAAAAGAGCGUCCCUCAAGAGGGCCUUGGCCCUCGUGGAUCUGGUUCUCUCAGGCCAGCGUUCCUUCGACGGGGACUCUCCUGGCGAGUUCCUAGCCGUUACCCUUUCCUCAGCUCAGCUCCUGGACCAUGGCUCUGGGUCACACAGCCUCCUGGGCUGCUCUUUCGUAUGCCACAUUUUUAUUCACUUUUGAGAGCCUAUGCGCCAUGCACCCUUCUAAUCCCUGAAUGGACGAAACAAAGCCCUUAGACUGACAUUCUAAUGGAGAACAGAAAUCAAGAUGUGGUGUUAUGAAUUGUGUCCACCCCAAAUUCGUAUAUUGAAGCCCUAAUCCCCAAUGUGACUGUAUUUGGAAAUAGGGCCUUUAAAGAGGUAAUUAAGGUUAAGUGAAGUCACAAGUGUGGGUCCCAAACCAACAUGACUUGCAUCUUUGUGAGAAGAGGAAGAAAUUCCUGGGAUCUGUGUGCACAGAGAAAAGGCCGUGUUGAGGACACCUGCAGGCCAGGGAGAGAAGCCUCUGGAGAAAUCAACCCCGCUGACAGCUUGGUCUUGGAAUUCCAGCCUGCAGAACUGGGAGAAAACAUUUCUGUUGUUUAAGCCACCUGGUCUGUGAUAUUCUGUUGUGGCAGCCCUAGCAAACUGAUACAGGUGGACAGGAACGCUUCCUACGGUGAUGAGGAGAAAAGAGCCUCCCUGUGGUAUUCGGAGUCCUGUCUUCCUAUCUUUCUGUUGGUUGAUGUGUAGACACAACGAUUGGAGCCAAGCAGACAACCUGGACCCUGGAGGACAGAGACUCAUGUUGAGGAUGGUGGAUAAAUGGGAUAGAAGUCUGGAUCCUUAAUGAUUGUAGAGCCACCCUAUUAUCCUGGCCUGCUUCCCACUGACAUCUUGCAUAUAAUUUGGUUCAGGAAUGGCUCUACGACCCAUGUUGGGCUACUCAGACACUAGAAGCAGUUCAAGAGCUUCUGGGGGAAGUUCUUUCUCAUUCGCUUGGAGACCUUCUGAAAGCUCCUCUUUCCCACUUGCCCUGGUGGUUGCUGUUCACAUCCAAGGCUGGCACUGCUGUAGCCAUCUGGCUAUCAGCUUGAAGAGGAAGCCAACACAGAGGAAGGCACAGCCAGUUACAUCACAAGCACAUGGAAUCACAGCCGUUGGAUUCAGAUGAUCCUGAAGUGGGUUCAACCUCUGGACUUCUAGUGAAGUGAGCCAGUCAAUCUCCCUGUUAUUUAAGGAAGAUUGAAUUGGAUUUUCUAUGACUUGCAAUUAAAAGCAUUUUGAGCUGAUAUAGACACAUGGUGGAAAUAAGCCCUCAACUGGGAGCAGAAUACUUGGUUCUCCCUCCAGCCCACCACCAAUUGGCUGUGUGACCUUAAGCAAGUCACUUCACUUCUCUGGGACUUACCUUCCUCAUCUGAAAAAGUGAAGCUUUUGGACAAGAUCAGUGGUCCUCAACCAUGGGUGGUUCUGCUCCCGUACGAGAUGUUUGGAAAAAUGUGGGACGUUUCUCAUUACCACAAUAACUGUGGAAACACUACUGACAUUUACCAGGCAGAGGACAGGGAUGCAAACUGUCUACAAUGCUUGGGAUGAUCCCAUGCAAUGAAAACUUGUCUCACCCCAAAUCACUAGAUAUUCCUCUUAUCUCUAACUGCUCUUACGACUCUUGGGUCACUUAUUCAACUUAUCUUAAUUUCUGCUUUCUCACUCUUUACAAUCUGCUGGCCUCCAUUCGGCUGCCUAGAUAGAGCCUUUAUAUCAGUGAUUCUCAGUUUUGUUCCCAAGGACAAUAUGCACCAGGAUCACCUUAGGGAAUUGCUAAAAAUUCAGAUUCAUGGGUCCCACCUGAGACCUGAGUCAGCAUCAAGAUCCCCAGGUGACACGCUGUAGUCUAUAAUGUGCUUUACCUGUUUGUGCAUCUUCCUAGGCCAUAAAAUACCAACAGUAUAAAAGUUUUCUCAUAAAACUUUUAUAAAUCAUAGAUACAGGGAACAGAUUGGUGUUGUCAGCAGCAGGGGGUGGCAGGGUGGGCGAAAUGGGUGAAAGUGAUCAAAAGGUAUAAACUUCCGGUUAUAAGAUGAAUAAGUCCUGGGGAUGUAAUACACAGCACGGUGAUUAUAGUUAAUAACACUGUAUUAUAUAUUUGAAAGUUGUUAAAAGAGUAGAUCUUAAA